rnacentral:sRNA from 1 species
UAUUAUAAAGUAAUCUUCCUUAUAUUUUCAUAGUAUAUCAUAUACUAUGAAAAUAUAAAGAAGAUUACUUUGAUGUC